CAGCUAAGCUUAAUGGAGCACUUAUUGGUCCACAGGCUGCUUCAGAUUGGUUAUAUGUAUAUCCAAAAGGAAUUCACGAUCUUGUGCUCUACACAAAGGAAAAA